AUUGAACGCUGGCGGCAGGCCUAACACAUGCAAGUCGAGCGGAGCUGCGGACGGGCGAGUAAUGCCUAGGAAUCUGCCUGGUCGUGGGGGCUAACGUCCGGUAACGGGCCCUAAUACCGCAUCCUAUCAGCUGAGCCUAGGUCGGAUUCGCUAGUUGGUGGGGUAAAGUCCUACCAAGGCGACGAUCCGUAACGGGUCUGAGAGGAUGAUCAGUCACACUGGAACUGAGACACGGUCCAGACUCCUACGGGAGGCAGCAGUGGGGAAUAUUGGACAAUGGGCGAAAGCCUGAUGCAGCCAUGCCACGUGUGUGAAGAAGGUCUUCGGAUUGUAAAGCACUUUAAGUUGGGAGGCGUUACCAACAGAAAAAGCACCGGCUAACUUCGUGCCAGCAGCCGCGGUAAUAC
rnacentral:rRNA from 1 species